AGGGUAAUAGCUCAGUGGUAGAGUACAUGCUGAGCAUGCUUGAGGUCCUGGGUUCAAUUCCCAGUACCUCUA
rfam:Camelus ferus unplaced genomic scaffold scaffold444, whole genome shotgun sequence.